UCUCUCUCAGGUUCGCACGUGGGGUGUUUCCAGUACUCUACCAGUCUUGACUACAAGAGGGAGAGUCAAGCAGAGGCCUACCCAUUCCAUUCCUAGCUUGGGCAAUGGCUAGCGAGUGGAAAGCAAUCUGCUACAACC